GACGAACCGUGCGAACGUUAUUCGGAAUCACUGGGCUUAAAGCGCGUGUAGGCGGGCCGGCACGUCGGUCGCUGAAAUCCCCCGGCUCAACCGGGGAAGGGGCGCCGAUACGACCGGCCUGGAGGGGCGUAGGGGGACCUGGAACUUCCGGUGGAGCGGUGAAAUGCGUUGAGAUCGGAAGGAACGCCCGUGGCGAAAGCGGGCGCCUGGACCCCACCUGACGCUGAGACGCGAAAGCCAGGGGAGCGAACGGG
rnacentral:rRNA from 1 species